UCAUUUGCUGCGUUUUCAGAUAGGAUUUUUGAGGUAGAGAUUAUUAAGAUUAGAAUUAGGGUUAAUGUAAGGAGCCAGGGGAAGUGGCAUGUGCUUGCAAAACACAAACACCAGCAUGUGUGUGUGUGUGUGUGUGUGUGGUUUCUGUAUUUCACCACCUUUGUCAAACACUCAGCUUGAAAGAGUUUUUUUUAGAAUUUCAUUAGAACGCCGCUCGCUGAUAAGAUUUACUGUCAAACAGUCGAGCACAAACUCUGUGUUUGUCGACUGACAAAACAUGUUCCUACUUCUUUGUUCUUCACUGUUUAACUGUGCAACAAGACUUUCUCCCAUAUAUAUCUGUGACCGCAGACACCGGGAAUAAGAACGUUUGUACUUUUAUGAACUCAUUCCACGUCUGCUUAUUCAGUUCCAGCUCCGUUGUCUCCGUGUUUGAUUGUAACACAUGCUCUUCUCUGUUCUUACAGCUGCUGUGAAACAAGUCUUUGUGUGUUCAUAAACACUGGCUCCAGGUGUGAGGAAUCAACCACGCAGCCUGCAGCCCUCAGGUAUCAGCUACGACUGGAAAACGCAACAAAAUUAACCCUCAACGUAUGCAGCACUGUCACUGCCUUCAAGAGUUUGACUCAGGACUAUUGUGGUUAACCAGGAGGGCUGUUUGUACCAUGAGGAAGUACCAGACCAGUUGAGCAGGAAAAGUAGGAGUUUACCAGGAAUAGUAGGGACUGGAGCAGGAAAGCUGAUCCAGGUGAGCUGCAGUACAAUGUCUCAGUAUGUAAACAAGCAGGUUUCAUAAUCCGUAGUCAGCGGGAAAUGUCUGCACUGCAUGUACUCUGAGUAUUUACUGGUAAAAGUACAGUGAUGGAAACGUAUAGUCAUUAAUUUGCUGCAUUUUAAUUUAACGCAGUGGUUCCAAUGUUUGGAGAGGGGAUACGCUAGAGGACGCAGGAGGUCAAAUUAAUUUCUCUCAACAACAGAGAGUUUGGGAAAUACUGCUUUAAUGCUUCAGAUUUGAAUCAAUCAAUCACAUCACAUGAUGGGUGUCGAUCAAAUCUGGGCUGUGGAGGCCGUGAUACAGAAACUUCAAUCAAUCCCUUCAGUCUGAACCAGACCUACAUGGUAAACUGUGCUACAUGGAUGGCUGCCACGCGUUUAGCUGAUAAAUAUUUGCAUUAAAAAGCAGUUGAACAGGUGUACUCAGUGACUGGAGUACGAUUGGUCACAAGUCAAAGCCAAUCACAUCCUUUUAAAAUGCCUUUGUAGUACAACUUCUAAAGUAAUACUACUCCUUGGCUACCGUGAUAGUGUUUAUCAGUAUCCAGAUACUCGUUCUUAAUGUUUGAAGUACUUCCAGUCACUAUCAGUGUUUUUCGAUGAACAUUUCAGGGCUCGCUUUAUGUAAAUUCAGAGUACGGAGUAGAAGGAAGACUUCUCCUGUAUUUGCAUUGGUGUGUGUUCCAAAACUUCACUCAAAUAAUAGGCAUUGUGUGUUGACAGCGUCAUGUGUUCCCAUGGCAGUUUUUGUAGAUACAAGUACAAGCGUGUGUGAGUGUGUGUGUGGUCUUGCAAAAGCAUCACAACUAGAUCUGUAACAAAGAAACUCAAACCAAAGUGUGUAUCUUUCAAUGUUAAACACACACUUCUCUAAGAGACAUCUUCAGCCUUUUGAAGGUCAAAGGUCAUGUUGUGGUUUACGUGUGUUUGUCAGUUUGAGGGCUUAUAGGCCCAGCCUUGUUAAUGUGUCUGCCCACAGGAACUAGUUUUGGUAAGUUCUGUAAUGUCGGUACUGUUGUGUGGUACUGUUGUGUGAAAUAGAUAAAUACAGUAUAGGGUGGAGGACACGUAUGGAUACCGUCAAAAUACUAGUGAUUCAAAAUCAUCUAAAUUUGAACAAAACUUUGUUUUAGGUUAAGAGUUUUGAAAAGUUUAAGUUUUAAAGCAUGAGGGCAAACGGUACCCUCUUGUGGCCAUAGACGGCAUCCAAAAUGUUUUUGAUCUAUUAUUCUCCUCAGAGUAAAUGUGUCAAGAGAUGGAUUUCAGUUUUUAAGUCUGUCAGUUUUUUUGUGUUAAGAUUUAAUGAUUUAUUCUUCAUAUAAAUGAAUCGAGUCACUGAUAAAUUCCAGUGCUUUAAUCCCAGAUGAAAACCUCAAAUGUAUUUUCCUAAAGUCUUGAACUGGUGAAUCAUGCCACCACUUGAUCACUUGAUCCAUGUUAUACUUGAGAAAAUAAAGUCUUUCACAAUGUGUAACUGCUUCCACGCGCUGCGCUCUCUGGCGUCAGACUGAUUGAACGGCUCUGAGUGCUGCUGAGCUUUUAUAGCCGUCUAUAAAAAGACGGCAGCAGGCUGAUUAUUAACUGUGAAUGCUGCUCCACUGCCCCGUAACUCUACACUACACACACACACAAAGGCUGGGACACACAUGAGUGAAGGUAAACUAAUGGGUGGGGAGGUAAACACAGGUCAGGGACCAGUCAUGUGAAACACUUACAGGUAAAACAAAGUUUUACUGGUGUCAACAAAUUAAAUAAAUAAACGUACUACGACAAGAAUGUAUGGAUCUUAAGGAAUGACUGUUUUGACGUAGUUUGUCUGUUAGUUA